AAUUAAAAAUUCAUAACCAUAGAUACAUAAGAGUACUCACAUAUUUCUUACGACCAUAUCCCUCAUCAUCAUCACCACGCCUCUCAGAACCAUAGCUCGGUUUCUCCUCAUCAUCACUCCUUCCAUAGCUAGUUUUCCUCCCAUAGCUUGGCUUCUCCUCGUCAUCACUCCUUCCAUAGCUAGGUUUCCUCUCAUACUCAGUCCUCCCAUAGCUCGGCUUCUCCUCAUCAUCACUCCUUCCAUAGCUAGGUUUCCUCUCAUAUUCACUCCUCCCAUAGCUUGGCUUCUCCUCCUCAUCACUCCUCCCAUAGCUUGGCUUCUCCUCCUCAUCACUCCGUCCAUAGCUAGUUUUCCUGCCAUAGCUCGGCUUCUCCUCCUCAUCACUCCUUCCAUAGCUAGGCUUCCUCUCAUACUCACUCCUUCCUCCUCCAUACCCUUCUUCCUCCCCAUAACCACUCUUCUUCCUCCCCGAUCCAUACUCCGAUUCACCACUCUCAUACUCAUUCUUCCGCCCAUAACCCUCACUCUCCUCCUCAUUCUUUCUCCCACCAUAACCAGACCCAUAUCCAGAUUCUUGCUUCCUUCCACCAUAACCAGACCCAUAACCACUUUCCUCAUUCUUUCUACCAUAUUCAGACUCCUGGGCCCCACCAUAUCCUGACCCAUAUCCAGAUUCUUGCUUCCUCCCACCAUAACCAGACCCAUAUUCACUUUCCUCAUUCUUUCUCCCAUACCCAGAUCCAUAUUCACCCUCCUGGGCCCCACCACCACCAUACCCAGAUCCAUAUUCACCCUCUUGCUUCCUCCCACCAUACCCAGAUCCAAUUUCAGAUUCUUGACCACCAUACCCAGAUCCUUGUUUCCUCCCAUACCCACCACCACCAUCACCAGAUUCAGGGUGAAAACUAGAAGGUGCAGGUCUAGGUUUCGGUCUCACAUAGCUACUAUACUCAGUAGCAAGAGCUUCAUCACCAUAAGCAGAAGGUUGAG
rnacentral:lncRNA from 1 species